UACGUAGGGGGCAAGCGUUAUCCGGAUUUACUGGGUGUAAAGGGAGCGUAGACGGUGUGGCAAGUCUGGUGUGAAAGGCAUGGGCUCAACCUGUGGACUGCAUUGGAAACUGUCAUACUUGAGUGCCGGAGGGGUAAGCGGAAUUCCUAGUGUAGCGGUGAAAUGCGUAGAUAUUAGGAGGAACACCAGUGGCGAAGGCGGCUUACUGGACGGUAACUGACGUUGAGGCUCGAAAGCGUGGGGAGCAAACAGG
rnacentral:rRNA from 1 species